rnacentral:rRNA from 1 species
UACAGAGGUCUCAAGCGUUGUUCGGAUUCAUUGGGCGUAAAGGGCGCGUAGGCUGCGGGGCAAGUCGGGUGUGAAAUCUCAGAGCUCAACUCUGAAACUGCACUCGAUACUGCUUUGCUUGAGGACUGGAGAGGAGAUUGGAAUUCACGGUGUAGCAGUGAAAUGCGUAGAUAUCGUGAGGAAGACCAGUGGCGAAGGCGGGAUCUCUGGACGAGUUCCUCGACGCUGAGGCGCGAAGGCCAGGGGAGCAAACGGGG